rnacentral:rRNA from 1 species
UCGAGAAUCUUCGGCAAUGGGCGCAAGCCUGACCGAGCGACGCCGCGUGCGGGAUGAAGGCCUUCGGGUUGUAAACCGCUGUCGGAGGGGAGGAAAUCAAUGGGGGCUAACCCCCAUUGUUGACCUAUCCUCAAAGGAAGGACGGGCUAAGUUCGUGCCAGCAGCCGCGGUAAGACGAACCGUCCAAACGUUAUUCGGAAUCACUGGGCUUAAAGGGUGCGUAGGCGGCCUUGUAAGUUGGGUGUGAAAUCCCUCGGCUCAACCGAGGAACUGCGCCCAAAACUACAAGGCUUGAGGAAGACAGAGGUGAGCGGAACUUGCGGUGGAGCGGUGAAAUGCGUUGAUAUCGCAAGGAACACCGGUGGCGAAAGCGGCUCACUGGGUCUUUUCUGACGCUGAGGCACGAAAGCUAGGGGAGCGAAGAG